rnacentral:rRNA from 1 species
UGGGGAAUAUUGCACAAUGGGCGCAAGCCUGAUGCAGCCAUGCCGCGUGUGUGAAGAAGGCCUUAGGGUUGUAAAGCACUUUCAGCGAGGAGGAAAGGUGAUUAGUUAAUGCCUGAUUACUGUGACGUUACUCGCAGAAGAAGCACCGGCUAACUCCGUGCCAGCAGCCGCGGUAAUACGGAGGGUGCGAGCGUUAAUCGGAAUUACUGGGCGUAAAGCGUGCGUAGGCGGCUACUUAAGUUGGAUGUGAAAGCCCCGGGCUUAACCUGGGAACUGCAUCCAAAACUGGGUGGCUAGAGUGCGAGAGAGGAGUGUGGAAUUUCCUGUGUAGCGGUGAAAUGCGUAGAUAUAGGAAGGAACACCAGUGGCGAAGGCGACACUCUGGCUUGACACUGACGCUGAGGUACGAAAGCGUGGGGAGCAAACAGGAUUAGAUACCCUGGUAGUCCACGCCGUAAACGAUGUCUACUAAUUGUCCGUUGUCUUGUACGAUGGGUAAUGCAGCUAACGCGAUAAGUAGACCGCCUGGGGAGUACGGCCGCAAGGUUA